rnacentral:rRNA from 1 species
UACGGAGGAUCCAAGCGUUAUCCGGAAUCAUUGGGUUUAAAGGGUCCGUAGGCGGUUUAGUAAGUCAGUGGUGAAAGCCCAUCGCUCAACGGUGGAACGGCCAUUGAUACUGCUAGACUUGAAUUAUUAGGAAGUAACUAGAAUAUGUAGUGUAGCGGUGAAAUGCUUAGAGAUUACAAUGGAAUACCAAUUGCGAAGGCAGGUUACUACUAAUGGAUUGACGCUGAUGGACGAAAGCGUGGGUAGCGAACGG